GAAGCACAGCCUGAGCUACUGGAGAAGGUACUCAGAGCCAACCAGCAGAAAGAGAAGGCCGAGCCCAGGAACCUGGCAGAGAACUGUCGUCCUCCCAGCUUUCCUCUCACGUGGACCUGAGGUCAUUUUACAGCUGGAAACAAAGUCCAUCACAGGGUCCCUGGACCCUUGGGAAUGGAGGCUGCCACUCAUGAAGUGUUCAAGUUUGUUUGUAUCACCUAAAAUGUCUCUUCAAUGAUUUUUCUUAAACAAUACUACUGAAUGGAUGAAUAUGC